UUAUCCUUGAUGAAAGAACUGAGACUUCUGAUCCACACUGGCUUUGUUGCCACGUCAGCAAUGUCACAACUUGAGUACUAAGCAUUAAGAUGGAACAGAUGAUGCUGACUUUGUAGGAGAAGCCAUAUCUGCCAUCCGUUGGUAAAGCAACAAAAUCACCAAGAACCCGAGUUGCAUGAUGAUAUUGGCAUCUUCCCAGUGGCAGGGGGAGAUCAUCUCUGGCCAUGCUACUUGAAAUCGUAGAAACCUUAAAUCUGCUGAAGAUCGUGAAUGAAUAAUGGGUUAUCCACAGAUCAAAAUCUUUCAGUGUGUGAGAGUAAAAACAAAGUGCAGAGCAAACCGCCUCUCUCGUGUGGAAAAGAGACGUGAAUUAUUGUCGGUAUGUAAACGGCGAAGACAGUGAUAUGUGAGAGGAGGAGAAGAGAGAAGAGAGAAGAGAAAGUCGGAGAUCCAAACACCACCAAAAUCCCUCUUUACUUAUAUAUACUUAAUUCUAUGUCUUCCAUUGCGCGUGUCUUGGAAUGUUGUCUUCAUCACGUGCAGAAAGGGCAAAAAAAUAUAAAAAAAUGUCAUUUUUUGUGUUAAA